rnacentral:rRNA from 1 species
GAUGAACGCUGGCUACAGGCUUAACACAUGCAAGUCGAGGGGAAACGGCAUUGAGUGCUUGCACUGAAUGGACGUCGACCGGCGCACGGGUGAGUGACGCGUAUCCAACCUUCCCGUUACUGCGGGAUAACCUGCCGAAAGGCAGACUAAUACCGCAUGUUCUUCGAUGACGGCAUCAGAUUCGAAGCAAAGAUCCGUCGGUAACGGAGGGGGAUGCGUCUGAUUAGCUAGUUGGCGGGGCGACGGCCCACCAAGGCGACGAUCAGUAGGGGUUCUGAGAGGAAGGUCCCCCACAUUGGAACUGAGACACGGUCCAAACUCCUACGGGAGGCAGCAGUGAGGAAUAGUGGUCAAUGGGCGGAAGCCUGAACCAGCCAAGUAGCGUGCAGGAUGACGGCCCUACGGGUUGUAAACUGCUUUUAUGCGGGGAUAAAGUGAGGGACGCGUCCCUUUUUGCAGGUACCGCAUGAAUAAGGACCGGCUAAUUCCGUG